rnacentral:rRNA from 1 species
CCGGCGCACGGGUGAGUAACGCGUAUGCAACUUACCUAUCAGGAGGGGAUAACCCGGCGAAAGUCGGACUAAUACCGCAUAAAGCAGGGAUCCCGCAUGGGAAUAUUUGCUAAAGAUUCAUCGCUGAUAGAUAGGCAUGCGUUCCAUUAGGCAGUUGGCGGGGUAACGGCCCACCAAACCGACGAUGGAUAGGGGUUCUGAGAGGAAGGUCCCCCACAUCGGUACUGAGACACGGACCAA